UACGGAGGGGGCGAGCGUUAUUCGGAAUUAUUGGGCGUAAAGGGCGCGUAGGCGGCUGUACAAGUCAAAGGUGAAAUCCCUCGGCUCAACUGAGGAACUGCCUUUGAAACUGUACGGCUUGAGGCCGGGAGGGGGUAGCGGAAUUCCCAGUGUAGCGGUGAAAUGCGUAGAUACUGGGAGGAACACCAGUGGCGAAGGCGGCUGCCUGGCCUGUAACUGACGCUGAGACGCGAAUGCGUGGGGAGCGAACCGG
rnacentral:rRNA from 1 species